GACGAACGCUGGCGGCGUGCUUAACACAUGCAAGUCGAACGGAAAGGCCCUGCUUUUGUUGGUUGCUCGAUUGGCGAACAGGUGAGUAACACGUGAGUAACCUGCCCUUGACUUUGGGAUAACUUCAGGAAACUGGGGCUAAUACCGGAUAGGAGCUCCUGCUGCAUGGUGUUGGUUGGAAAGUUUCGGCGGUUGUGGCUGGACUCGCGGCUUAUCAGCUUGUUGGUCUGGUAGUGGCUUACCAAGGCUGUGACGGGUAGCCGGCCUGGGAGGGGUAACGGGGACAAUGGGACUGAGGUACGGACCAGAAGCGUACGGGAGGCAGCAGUGGGGAGUAUUGCGCAAUGGGCGGAAGCCUGAUGCAGAAACGUCGCGUGCGGGAUGACGGCUUACGGGGUGUAAACCGAUGUCGAAGGUGACGAAGAGUGAGUGACGGUAAUGGGUAAGGAAGCAACGGCUAACUACGUG
rnacentral:rRNA from 1 species